UACGUAGGGUGCAAGCGUUAAUCGGAAUUACUGGGCGUAAAGCGUGCGUAGCGGUGCCAUAAGUCUGUUGUGAAAUCUCCCGGCUUAACUGGGAGGGUGCGGUGGAAACUGUGGUGCUGGAGUGUGGGAGAGGUAGGCGGAAUUCCUGGUGUAGCGGUGAAAUGCGUAGAUAUCAGGAGGAACACCUGUGGUGUAGACGGCUUACUGGACCAUGACUGACGCUGAGGCACGAAAGCGUGGGGAGCAAACAGG
rnacentral:rRNA from 1 species